GCAGAGUGACUGGGGUGGCAGAUAAAAGCAAUAUUUAUACGCAGUCAAAAAUGUACGCCGACAGUACAAGGGAUAAAUUAUGCAUUGAAAUGUAAAUUCCCUCACCCUCAUCGCGUUUGGUUUGACGAUAAAAGCCGACCACCCAGCACUUAGAAUCCCAGGAAAUCGCGUCCGAUAUCCAACGUAAGGGCGCAAGAGGAAAAAAAUUGAGCCACGACGCCAGCGACGCUGCACUGUCGCGACUGCUUGUGAUUAAUGAAACUCUUACUUAUUGAUGUGGAAACGACCGUAUCUACACACAACGUAGCUAACUAUUUA
rnacentral:misc_RNA from 1 species